rnacentral:misc_RNA from 1 species
AAUUUUUUAAAUUUUUAUUAAUUCUAUUUCACCUAACUAAAUCAUUAUCUCACCAACGAAACUACCACGUUAGAUGCCAUGUCAUGCCACUACAGAGUAAAAUUAAUAAUAAGAGUUAAAAAGUAUAAAAUUUAAUUGACAAAUCAGCCCUCUCAACGUUCUUAAUAAUCUCUUAUGAUUAAGAUAUUCACUAUAUAUGAAAAUUAAUUAAUAACUUUAAUUCAAUGGUUGUCUUCAUUUUUCAUAUAUUCUUGUCAAUUCAAGUUUGCAAUCUUCACUUGAUAUUUCUAGUUUUAAACAUUGUAUACAUCUUUGUAUUUUUGGGAUCCAGUUGCUUGAUUGCUAGUUAUGGUUGAUA